rnacentral:sRNA from 1 species
AAAGAACAGAACAAAAAAA